rnacentral:rRNA from 1 species
UCGAACGGAGAGCAGUAUGAAGUAUUUCGGUACGGAAUGCGUUCUAGUGGCGAACGGGUGAGUAACACGUGGGCAACCUGCCCAGACUGGGGGAUAACAUUGUGAAACAGUGCUAAUACCGGCAUGACAGGGUUCCGGGCAUCCGGGACUCGUUGAAAGGAGAGAUCCGGUCAGGGAUGGGCCCGCGUCCAAUUAGCUAGUUGUGGGGUAACGGCCCACCAAGGCGACGAUUGGUAGCCGAACUGAGAGGUUGAUCGGCCACAUUGGGACUGAGACACGGCCCAGACUCCUACGGGAGGCAGCAGUGGGGAAUAUUGGGCAAUGGGCGAAAGCCUGAACCCCCAGCGACGCCGCGUGAAGGAUGAAGGUCUUCGGAUUGUAAACUUCUAUCAGCAGGAAAGAAAAUGACGGUACCUGACUAAGAAGCCCCGGCUAACUACGUGCCAGCCGCUGC